AGCAGCCGCGGUAAUUCCAGCUCCAAUAGCGUAUAUUAAAGUUGUUGCAGUUAAAAAGCUCGUAGUUGAAUUUCGGGGUUAGUAGUUUGGUCGUGCCAAUGGUAUGUACUGGGCUCACUGAUUCCUCCUUCCUGAUGAACUGUAAUGCCAUUAAUUUGGUGUUACAGGGAAACAGGACUGUUACUUUGAAAAAAUUGAGUGUUUAAAGCAAGCUAACGCUUGAAUACAUUAGCAUGGAAUAAUGAAAUAGGACGUUCGAACCUAUUUUGUUGGUUUCUAGGAUUGACGUAAUGAUUAAUAGGGAUAGUUGGGGGCAUUAGUAUUCAAUUGUCAGAGGUGAAAUUCUUGGAUUUAUUGAAGACUAACUACUGCGAAAGCAUUUGCCAAGGAUGUUUUCAUUAAUCAAGAACGAAAGUUAGGGGAUCGAAGACGAUCAGAUACCGUCGUAGUCUUAACCAUAAACUAUGCCGACUAGGGAUCGGAUGAUGUUAAUUUUUAUGUACUUCAUUCGGCGCCUUAC
rnacentral:rRNA from 1 species